AGUGGGGAAUAUUGGACAAUGGGCGAAAGCCUGAUCCAGCCAUGCCGCGUGUGUGAAGAAGGCCUUCGGGUUGUAAAGCACUUUCAGUGGGGAAGAAAGCCUUGGGGCUAAUACCCUCGAGGAAGGACAUCACCCACAGAAGAAGCACCGGCUAACUCCGUGCCAGCAGCCGCGGUAAUACGGAGGGUGCGAGCGUUAAUCGGAAUUACUGGGCGUAAAGCGCGCGUAGGCGGUCUGAUAAGCCGGUUGUGAAAGCCCCGGGCUCAACCUGGGAACGGCAUCCGGAACUGUCAGGCUAGAGUGCAGGAGAGGAAGGUAGAAUUCCCGGUGUAGCGGUGAAAUGCGUAGAGAUCGGGAGGAAUACCAGUGGCGAAGGCGGCCUUCUGGACUGACACUGGCGCUGAGGUGCGAAAGCGUGGGUAGCAAACAGGAUUAGAUACCCUGGUAGUCCACGCCGUAAACGAUGUCGACU
rnacentral:rRNA from 1 species